AAAGUCAUAUACACCUAGGAUGCCUCGAGGAUAUUUUACACUUGCUAUUCAACACAUCUGAACUUGUGCAGGAGGGGAGGACGACCCCAAUGAGUGACAUGCUGAACUGAAUCGCAAGUCCAUGUCCUCAUGGGAUAUUUUAGACUUAUGCUGUGUAUUAUUGUCUUUGGGUUGGAGAAAAUUAUCAAAUGAAAUAAUAAAACUGUCAAACCUGA